rnacentral:rRNA from 1 species
GAUGAACGCUGGCGGCGUGCUUAACACAUGCAAGUCGAACGGGAAAUAUUUCAUUGAGACUUCGGUGGAUUUGAUUUAUUUCUAGUGGCGGACGGGUGAGUAACGCGUGGGUAACCUGCCUUAUACAGGGGGAUAACAGUCAGAAAUGGCUGCUAAUACCGCAUAAGCGCACAGAGCUGCAUGGCUCAGUGUGAAAAACUCCGGUGGUAUAAGAUGGACCCGCGUUGGAUUAGCUAGUUGGUGGGGUAACGGCCCGCCAAGGCGACGAUCCAUAGCCGGCCUGAGAGGGUGAACGGCCACAUUGGGACUGAGACACGGCCCAGACUCCUACGGGAGGCAGCAGUGGGGAAUAUUGCACAAUGGGGGAAACCCUGAUGCAGCGACGCCGCGUGAAGGAAGAAGUAUCUCGGUAUGUAAACUUCUAUCAGCAGGGAAGAUAGUGACGGUAC